rnacentral:misc_RNA from 1 species
UCCACCACCUCUUUAGUGCAGUUUAGUGUCUAGUGGAGUGGGUCGUAGGCAUAGAAGGGUUAUUGUUGUUACGUCGUUAAAAUAGUGAAAAUGUCUGGAAAAACUUUACCCGUGGAAAAAUUAGUGCGGGUUGGUUAUUAUGAACUCGAAAAAACAAUUGGCAAGGGUAAUUUUGCUGUCGUGAAACUUGCUACACAUGUUGUUACAAGAACCAAGGUGGCCAUUAAAAUAAUAGAUAAGACUGCAUUAGAUGAAGAAAAUUUAACCAAAAUAUUCCGGGAGACUGCAAUAAUGAAGAAACUUCGUCAUCCGCACAUAACAAGACUGUAUCAACUCAUGGAAACCAAUCAGACCAUCUACCUAGUAACAGAGUACGCUAGUAAGGGUGAAAUAUUUGAUCAUUUAGUAUCUAGGGGUCGCAUGGCCGAAUCAGAAGCUAAACGAAUAUUUAAUCAGAUAGUAUCGGCUGUGAAUUACUGUCAUUCGCAAGGAAUAGUUCAUAGAGAUCUUAAGGCUGAAAAUUUAUUAUUAGAUCACAAUAUGAACAUAAAGUUAGCAGAUUUUGGAUUUAGUAAUCAGUUUACGGAGGGAACUAAACUGUCAACAUGGUGCGGAUCGCCUCCGUAUGCUGCCCCCGAACUAUUCCAGGGUUUUAAGUACGAUGGUCCAAAGGCCGAUAUUUGGAGCCUGGGAGUUGUUUUAUAUGUGUUAGUUUGUGGUUCACUGCCCUUUGACGGUCCUACAUUACAGGCCCUUAGGAACGUUGUCAUAUCCGGUAAAUUCCGAAUUCCGUACUUCAUGUCACAAGACUGUGAGCAUUUAAUAAGGCACAUGCUGGUGGUCGAUCCAGAUAAAAGACUGACGAUGUCACAGAUUGUGAAACAUCGGUGGUUGGCUGAGGCUCCGCCUGUCGACACCGGGCCCGAGAAAGAAAACGAACUCAACAAAACUGUCUUAGAACACAUGCUACAACUGCCCGGAUUGAACCAGAACAUGAUUUUGCAGUCUUUGAAAUCUAAUUCGUUCGACCACAUUUACGCUAUUUACAACUUGCUGGUUGAUAAACUGCACCAACGCACUAUCAACUUCCAGCAUAAAAUUUCGCAAAAGAACAGCAACGUCGAACAAAAGGAGAGAUUUUUGGAAGAAAGAGCACGAGUUCAUGAAGAACAACAACAACAACAACAACACAAGAUAGCAGAAAGAAGCGAAUCAUUUAACGAGAAGUUGGUUGUUCACAAAUAUAGUAAAUCGAGCGAAAUUAGAGAGUUGGAAGUGGAUGGUAAAUUGGCCGAGCCGAAAAACGGCCGUCGAGAAAGUUUUAAUGAGAAUUGUUUGCGCGAAAUACGGGACGAAGUAAACGAAAAACGACGACCAAGUUCGGACAGCAUAAAUGAAGACGGAACGUACCCAUUUAUAUCUAUGCCUACCAUCCCAGCCGUUUAUCUGGCAGGCGAUUUGGAAAAUCAACCACUGGAAAAGUUCGGAGAUAUGGAAACGGACCUAUCCGACGAUUUAGGAAAUUUGCCCUCUUCAGCUUCUACGACGGGAUACAGUAGUUGCACUUCAACAGGUGAACAUUAUUUGGCAAUUCGAAGACACACGGUGGGACCUGGAGAUUCUGCACAUGAACAGGUGUUGGAGUCGCAUUACAUGUCGCAAGUCCAGCAGGAUCCCACUUUGCCAAACAUAAAUCUGCCUCUGGAUUUACCUUCGUUGGGUCAACAGAAUUACCAUUAUUUCGGUGGAAAAGAUCCGCACCUACUUAAGCCGCCGACCGUGUUGAACGUGGUGGGCGGAUUUGGGAGACGAGCGUCAGAUGGUGGUGCUAAUUUUCAUAUGGCAUGGGGCACACCAGGUUCUCACGAACAGUUGUCCGUCAUGUCGUCUAGUUCGAGUGGUAAUCCUAGUCUUAGCAGCGGCACCGGCACUCAAACACUCGACAGGAGUCAACCGACUUUGGACGAACUUUCUGACCCCUACGCAGUUGCUCGAUACAUGAAAUGCAGAGGUAAUUCGAAAAGGCAUACGAUGGCAAAUCCUGAAGACGUUCACACUCUACAGACUAGUACGUCUUCGACAGGUCGAACUAGAAGGACUGGUUUGCAUACAGUUAUGGAACGGCCUCCAGUGAUUUCGCCCGAAUUAAUAUUGGAGGUUGAGGCUCGCAUGGGACGCAACUAUUUGCCACCCAUGCCUAUCAUGCCCCAACGCAAGCACUCUCGACAUGCCGUCAAACCCCAUUUGCCCACAGUUCAGGAACUUCAAGGGCGAGAACAGAAAUCUUCAGAACGAUUCAGCCCAGUCAGGAGGGGUAGCGAGGGUUCUGCAGGCAGUGGUCGAACGUUAAGCCCAACAACCCCCCAGCAGGAAUGCCAGCGGUUACAGCGAGGUUUGGCAACGCGUAACAGUCCUCCGCGAUCGAUACCAGGUUCCCCCAUUCAUCAUUUCGUAACGGAUGCGUGUUAUCCCGAAUCGAACUCUCCCGUUCACCAGCCGUCAUCGAGCAAUAUGUCGUCAGAGAACUUCCCCUCGUCGAGUUUCGCUUACGACCCUAACCACAGUUAUGGAAACAGUCCCGUGCAUUCUGGUAGCACUUCACCUUACACCCACAACUCGAGCAGCGGCUUGAACUCCCCAAGUCAUCAGGCGAUGUACGGACAACUGCCCAAUUUGAGUCUGUACGCCGGUGGUAACGUUCCCAUCAACAAGCCUCUUCUUAAUCCCAGUAUGCCCCAAGUAUUCGGUACCUAUGGACCCAAUGCAGCCGUCGCUCUCCCGCAACCGACCAGUAUAUCGUCCAUUACGCAAGGUAUAAGCGUUUUAAAUACGACCGGCAUUGGUUCAAUAACGCAGGGAACACCAGCGACGAAUCUUCAACAGGAUAUUCGAGGUCAACAGCAGAUGUUAUCUUUGCAGUCGGACGAUAAAAUGGACACCGCUGCUUACGGCAAUCUGGUUCAUCCCUACAUGCACCAGUCGCCUGUGCCCCAUCAUAUGCAUCACAUUCUGAACAUACACAAUCAUCGUAGUUUAACGAAUUCGCCGAUUAGCAAUCCGGGCAGUCCGGGCUUGGACAUGAUUCAAGAGGAACAAUCACACGGUCACGGCAUCCAUAACAAAGAGCUCGUAUGCCAUCCUCAGAUAUCAGUAACCGACGUUUUAGGUAGCGAAGUUACACUGGUAGCCGGUUCGGAUACGUCUGAGGAUUCAAUGGAUAGUCUCGAAAACCAGAUCCCAAAAAUACCGUCGUUUAUAAUAUCUGAACCGUCAGAAAACCAGCCGUCGAUUACGAAAGGCAUCGGUCGAAAAACGAGUGCCGAUAACAAUGACGAAACAAAAUUUUUUAAUCGACCUCAGCAGUCAGACACCUGCGGAGGGGGUGGCAACUGCGGCGAAAACAAUCAAGCAACUGACGAGUUUUUUCUGAAACGAAAUAAUCCAUCAGAUAAGAGUCCGUGUUAUUCGGACGACUCGCUGUCCAAUGAUAGUCUCAGUAUAGGAAACCAAAGUCCCAGCUCAGGCUCAAAUACCCAGAGCAGUUAUUUCGAUCAAGAAUUACGCUCCCGGCCCAUUGACACUAACUACAUCCAAAAACAAAUCGACCAAGAACUGGCCAACUCCGGUGCGGAGAACUUUGAAAUUUUUAAAAACUUAAACCUCGCCAUCGUUCAGCAUCACCACCAUCAACAGGAUAACAUGGAUAUCGAUCGUUCUCGACACCAAGACAGCAACAACAGCAAAUUACUGGAAGCAUGUAAACAUUCCGGGUCUUUUGAAGUCGAAUUACCAAAAGAUUGCGCAAAUUUAGAAUCGACGGACAUUUUGGAAAUGGUGAAAAGAUCGAUUAAUGACCAGGUGCCGCCGAAGUGCUGCAUCUUAAGUUCUACUCCUGAACAUUUAGCGAACAAAUUGUCGUUGGAAUACGAGGGCGGUAUUCAAAUCGAACUUCGUAUCGUAGACAAACGGAAAGACGCGAAAGGACUGAAAGUGCGUCGGAUAUCCGGUGACCAGCUUGUCUGUAAUCAGCUCUGCCAACAGCUGAUCUCUUGCAUGUCGGUCUCUUAACGAACGGCGUGAAUCAUUGUUGUUAUAAAUUAUUAAUUCUGUGAACGUUUUAGUUCGCGUUUUUUGUUUUCAUUACAUAAUUGACUGAUUAUUUGAUUGAUUAGUUAUUAUUGAUAGAUUGACAGAGCAUCUUUGUCCAGUUUUGUUUGAGACUUUUAUGACUAAAAAAUAACGAAUGACGUUGCAACCAUCUCCUGUGCUUCCAGAAAAACAUUAAUAGUACUUUAUGAUUAUUUCAAAGGUAAGAAUCUUUUGACGCAGAAGAAAUCGAAAUGAUAAAUAAAAAGUGAAAUAAAAUAAACUUAUUCUAUCUAUCUAUCUAUCUGUAGGUACAUUUAUAAUACACUUUCUGCUUGACGCAGGUCGUCGAUUCCUUUCGGUGGAGUGAAAUAGUGGCUUUGAUUAUUAAAUAUUAUUCCACUAGAAAAUUUUGUAAAUAGNG